CCUUGGUCUUUUAUAUUUGCAGUUAAUUUUGGACUGUCUAGUCUAAGUCUAAAUCGGAAGGGGAAAAGAAGAAAAGUAUGCUGCGAGUUCCCGUUUCCACUCCAAGCAGCGGAGAAAUGGAGCAUAACAACACACACCAGUUGAGGUCUCGGUCCCACCAACAGUUUCAUCCCUCUCGACCUGCCAUCCUUGAUCUCUUCAAUUUAUACUUAGGACUGAAAAAUUCUGGACAAAAAUCAGAUGAUUCUAUCAGAGAACCACCGAACAAGACACAGAAGAGAGUAACUGCUCUUAACAGAGAGCUUCCUCCACGAAAUGAGCAAUUUAUCUUAGAUUUUGGACAGCUGCAGAGCCAGUUUACUGACAAGGAACAGCUAAGUGCAGUGGCAGAAUCUGUUCUUAUUUCCCUCGUUAUUCAUUGCAGUAGUCACGCACCUCGUGCAGAAUUUAUUCAAUUUGCCAUAUGUAGUUUGUCUAGUAUAGGAUUCAUAAACUGGGAUUCUUUCUUGCCUUCUCUUCUUUCCUCCGUUUCAUCAACUGAGAUAUCCGCUAGCCAGGCUAAUCUACCAUCUGCUGCUGUCUCUUCUGCUAAUUUAACAUCUGGAUUGCUCCCUUCUUCCACCACAGUAGCGUCUACCUCCAUUUUUCACUCAUCAAAUCCUGCAUCUCCUUUGCCCGCUGUCCAUGGUAUUGGGUCCCCUCUUCAUUCAGUAGCUGAACCCUCAUCUUCUGCUGCUUUGUCUCCCAUGAAGUCUUCUGAUGUUAAUGGUACUAGCCAACAGUCUGUUGCAAAAGUGAAUUUGUUGUUAAAUGAUAAUGCUACAAGCAGUCUGCGUCAGUUAUGUUGCAAAAUUAUUUUAACUGGUCUAGAUUCUAAUCUUAAGCCAGUAACACAUGCCGAAGUUCUCCACCAUAUGUUGAAUUGGUUGAUUAAUUGGGACCAAAAGUUACAUGGUAUUGAUGAAUUAGACAGUACGAAAUAUUGGAAACCAGAUAAGGCCCUAAUUAAGUGGCUACACAGUUGUUUAGAUGUUAUUUGGUUGCUGGUUGAGAAUGAUAAAUGCCGUAUACCGUUUUAUGAACUUCUCCGGAGUGGGUUGCAGUUUUUAGAAAAUAUACCAGAUGAUGAAGCUCUGUUCACUCUUAUUUUGGAGAUCCAUCGGAGGCGAGAUAUGAUGGCUAUGCAUAUGCAAAUGUUGGAUCAGCACCUUCACUGCCCUACAUUUGGGACCCCUCGACUUCUUCCUCAAGCCUCUGCAAAUUCGUCUGGUGAAGCAGUUGCUAACAUGAGAUAUUCACCAAUUACAUAUUCUAGUGUGCUUGGGGAACCAUUGCAUGGAGAGGAUCUUGCAGCUUCCAUUCAAAAAGGAAGCCUGGAUUGGGAGCGAGCUUUGCGUUGUUUAAAGCAUGCACUUCGGAACGCUCCAUCACCAGACUGGUGGAGACGUGUGCUUCUUGUGGCUCCCUGUCACAGGGUUCAUGCCCAGGCUCCAACUCCGGGUGCUGUGUUUACAUCGGAAAUGGUUUGCGAGGCAGUUAUUGAAAGAAUUGUUGAAUUAUUGAAGUUGACGAAUUCAGAAAUCAAUUGCUGGCAGGAGUGGCUUAUAUUCUCUGAUAUAUUCUUUUUUCUCAUGAAAAGUGGAUGCGUUGAUUUUGUGGAGUUCGUGGACAAAUUAGUAUUUCGACUUCAAGAGGGUGAUCAACAAAUACUUAGGACGAACCAUGUUACGUGGUUACUUGCACAAAUUAUUCGGGUUGAACUAGUGAUGAAUGCUCUAAAUACAGACUCAAGAAAGGUGGAGACGACCAGAAAAAUUCUUUCGUUCCAUAAAGAGGAGAAAAGCUCUGAUCCCAAUAAUCCUCAAAGUAUCCUACUUGAUUUCAUUAGCAGUUGUCAGAACUUGCGCAUUUGGACACUAAAUACAGCAACAAGAGAAUACCUGAAUAACGAGCAGCUACAAAAAGGAAAGCAAAUUGAUGAAUGGUGGAGACAAGUUAACAAAGGGGAACGCAUGAUGGAUUAUAUGAAUUUGGAUGAUAGAUCAAUUGGGAUGUUUUGGGUUGUGUCCUACACAAUGGCUCAGCCUGCUUGUGAAACUGUGAUGAACUGGUUAACCUCCGCGGGGGUUACUGAGCAUUUACCUGGACCAAAUUUGCAGUCCAAUGAGAGAUUAAUGGUGAUGCGUGAAGUUUGCCCCCUGCCGAUAUCAUUGUUAUCAGGAUUGUCCAUAAAUUUAUGCUUGAAAGUGGCUUUUCAAUUGGAAGAAUCAAUGUUUUCUGGACAGGCUGUGCCCAGCAUCGCUAUGGUUGAAACAUACUGUAGGUUGAUGCUCAUUUCCCCUCAUUCAUUGUUUCGUUCGCUCUUAACCCAUCUGACAUCGAGGAAUCCCACCACAUUGACCAAGCCAGGAAACACAAUCUUGGUGUUUGAGAUUCUUAAUUAUCGUUUCCUUUCACUCUACAGGUACCAAGGUAAGAGCAAGACAUUGAUGUAUGAUGUCACCAAAAUGAUUUCUACACUGAAGGGAAAACGCGGAGAUCAUCGCAUUUUCAGAUUGGCUGAGAACUUAUGUAUGAAUCUGAUUUUGUCGUUGAGAGACUUUUUCUUUGUGAAGAGGGAAGGGAAGGGUCCAACUGAGUUUACUGAGACUUUAAAUAGGAUAACAAUUGUUACUCUUGCAAUCAUAAUUAAAACUCGUGGAAUUGGAGAGUUCGAACAGUUACUGUAUCUUCAAACAAUGCUGGAACAAAUCUUAGCAACUAGCCAGCAUACCUGGUCUGAGAAAACUUUGCGCUAUUUUCCUUCAAUUUUACGUGAUGCCUUGAGUGGGCGAAUGGAUAAAAGGGGCUUGGCAAUCCAAGCAUGGCAGCAGGCAGAAACAACUGUUAUCAAUCAAUGCACACAGCUUCUUUCUCCCUCAGCUGAUCCCUCAUAUGUUGUGACUUAUAUUAACCAUAGUUUUCCUCAGCACCGCCAGUAUCUCUGUGCUGGUGCAUGGAUACUAAUGCAUGGGCAUCCAGAAAAUAUUAACUGCACAAACCUUGGACGUGUUUUGAGAGAGUUUUCUCCUGAAGAGGUGACUGCAAAUAUUUAUACAAUGGUAGAUGUCCUGCUUCAUCAUAUUCACUUGGAACUACAGCGUGGACAUCCCUUGCAGGAUCUUAUGCUAAAAGCCUGUGGAAACCUUUCAGUUUUCAUCUGGAACCAUGAGCUUUUGCCUCCAGAUAUCCUACUGCUGGCACUUAUUGACCGUGAUGAUGAUCCACAUGCUUUGCGCAUUGUAAUUAACUUACUUGACAGUAAGGAGCUCCAACAAAGAGUGAAAGUUUAUCUCUUAAAUCGUGGCCCGCCUGAGCAUUGGCUUUCCCCUGGACCUUUCAAGCGUGUGGAAUUGCAGAAAGCUCUUGGAAAUUAUCUGUCAUGGAAGGAGAGGUAUCCAACAUUUUUUGAUGAUAUUGCUGCACGCCUGCUUCCAGUCAUCCCCCUUAUCAUAUAUAGACUCAUUGAAAAUGACGCUAUGGAUGCGGCUGAUAGAAUUCUUCAAGUUUAUUCACCCUUCCUUCAUUACUAUCCUCUGAACUUUACGUUUGUUCGUGAUAUACUUUCUUAUUUCUAUGGUCAUCUUCCUGGAAAGCUAAUACUCCGUAUACUGAAUAUCUUAGAUAUUAAAAAGAUACCAUUUUCAGAGUCAUUCCCGCAACAUAUCAACUCAUCAAAUGCAGCCAUGUGCCCACCAUUGGACUACUUCGCUACUCUUUUGUUAGGACUGGUGAAUCAUGUUAUUCCCGCUUUAAAUAAUAGCUCCAAAUGUGCAGUGAUGGGAGAUUUUGCAAAUAAUUCUACCCGUGCUCCCCAUGGAAAGAUCCCAGCAACAUCACAAUCUGGGACAACUAAUUCUUUUGACGGGCAGAAACCUUAUUAUCAGAUGCAAGACCCUGGGAUAUCCACCCAGCUUACUCUUGAAACAGCUGUCAUAGAAUUACUUUCUCUUCCUGUUUCACCAUCACAGAUUGUCUCAUCUCUAGUUCAAAUUGUUGUUCACAUACAACCAACCCUUGUUCAAUCCAGCAAUGGGCUUCAUGGAGCUCCUGGUAGUUCAGGACAAGGCUCUAUUUUGCCUACUUCUCCUUCAGGAGGAAGCACUGAUUCUUUGGGUGCAACUAGGACGACUCCAUCACUUUCAGGAUUGAAUACUUCUAAUUUUGUUUCACGCAGUGGUUAUACUUGCCAGCAGCUGUCUUGCUUGUUAAUCCAAGCAUGUGGUCUUCUUUUGGCACAACUUCCUCCAGAAUUUCAUGUGCAGCUAUAUGUUGAAGCUGCACGCAUAAUAAAAGAAAGUUGGUGGCUUACUGAUGCUAAAAGGUCUGUGGGUGAAUUAGAAUCGGCUGUUAGUUAUGCUCUACUAGAUCCCACCUGGGCUGCACAGGAUAAUACCUCAACAGCCAUUGGUAAUAUUGUCGCACUGCUACAUGCUUUCUUCUGUAACCUCCCACAAGAAUGGCUCGAGGGAACUCAUCUUAUCAUUAAGCACCUUAGGCCUGUGACAUCUGUUGCAGUAUUAAGAAUAUCAUUUCGCAUUAUGGGUCCCUUGCUUCCGAGACAGUGUCGCUGCUUUUGAAUAUUUUGGUGGAUGUGUUUGGGAAGAACUCACAGCUGUCAGCACCUAUUGAAGCAACGGAAAUAAGUGAUCUUAUCGACUUCCUGCAUCAUGUUAUUCAUUACGAGGUCGCAUCUAGUAAACCCAGAUCAGAAAUUUUGGCUCUUUUUGGAAGAGCAGCAGAAAAUUUGCGUCCAGAUGUUCAACAUCUUCUUUCCCACCUCAACACUGAUGUAAACACUUCGGUUUAUGCAAAAAUCAUCCACAAUGCUUAAGAAUCUGCUCCUACUGUUAGGUGGUUCCUUGCUUUAAUCUAGUUUGACAUGCCUCACUUUGUUAAUUUACUUCAUCUUAAUUAAUAAACUAAAUUAACAAAACAUGAAGAGAGGAGACAAGUGUAGUCUCUAUAUUCUUUAUUCAUAAUUCUCUUUUUUGAUAACUACAAAGGCUAUUAUUAUGUUGUUCCUUGGCCGCAGAAAUAUGAGUCGAUCCGAUUUCACAUGGAUCAUCUACAUUCUGUUACAACAAUCCUCCUUAGAUGUCCAUGUAGAGAAAAUGUACAGAGUUAUUCGAAUAA